rnacentral:rRNA from 1 species
GAAUGGGGAAACCCGGCUGGGGUAAAUGCCCAGUCAACUGCAGAUGAAUAGAUAGUGUGCAGUGGGGAACGAGGCGAAUUGAAACAUCUUAGUAACCUCAGGAAGAGAAAUCAAACGAGAAUCCGUAAGUAGUGGCGAGCGAAAGCGGACGAGGCCAAACCGUGAGACUUCGGUUUCACGGGGUUGCGGGUCUGUAUAAAGUAUCUUGGCGGCGAGUGGAAUGAGCGGUUGGAAAGCCGAGUCCAGAGAGCGUAAAAGUCGCGUACACGAAGCCAAAGAGAGCGAGCAGAUACCAGAGUACCACGAGACACGAGAAACCUUGUGGGAAGCUGGGGGGACCACCCUCCAAGCCUAAAGACUCCUCGGUGACCGAUAGAGAAUAGUACUGUGAAGGAAAGGUGAAAAGAACCCCGGGAGGGGAGUGAAAGAGAACCUGAAACCCUGUGCUUACAAGCAGUCGGAGCACGUUAAGGUGUGACGGCGUACUUUUUGUAGAACGGUCCGACGAGUUAUGGUCAUGAGCAAGGUUAAGUACCUCAGGUAUGGAGCCGGAGCGAAAGCGAGUCUGAAGAGGGCGAAGAAGUUCAUGGCUGUAGACCCGAAACCGGGUGACCUAUCCAUGUGCAGGUUGAAGUUGCGGUAAAACGCAGUGGAGGACCGAACCGGUGUCUGUUAAAAAAGGCUCGGAUGACGUGUGGAUAGCGGAGAAAUUCCAAUCGAACCCGGAGAUAGCUGGUUCUCCCCGAAAUAGCUUUAGGGCUAGCCUCGUUAUAGAGUCUUCUGGAGGUAGAGCACUGAAUGGGCUAGGGGCCUUACCGGGUUACCGAACCUUAUCAAACUACGAAUGCCAGAAAGAUAUGAACGGGAGUCAGACUGCGACAGAUAAGUGCCGUGGUCGAAAGGGAAACAGCCCAGAUCAUCAGCUAAGGUCCCAAAAUCACCGUUAAGUGGAAAAGGAUGUGGAUUUGCAAAAACAGCCAGGAUGUUGGCUUAGAAGCAGCCAUUCAUUGAAAGAGUGCGUAACAGCUCACUGGUCGAGUGAGUCUGCGCCGAAGAUCAACGGGUCUAAACGGUGUACCGAAGCUAUGGAGCCGCAAGGUUGGUAGGGGAGCGUACCGUAGGGAGUAGAAGCAUGACCGGAAGGACAUGUGGAUCCAUCGGUAGUGAGAAUGUCGGAAUGAGUAACGAGAGGAAGGUGAGAAUCCUUCCCGUCGAAAAUCCAAGGUUUCCUGGGGAAGGUUCGUCCGCCCAGGGUUAGUCGGGACCUAAGGCGAGGCCGAGAGGCGUAGUCGAUGGACAACAGGUGGAGAUUCCUGUACUACCGACUGGUGCUAGAGAGAAGCAGGGACACAGGAGGAAUGAGCGAGCGCGCGACUGGAAGAGCGCGUCUAAAUCCAAAGGAUAGUUCUGUAGUGAAGUACGCAGGAUGUUUCUGAUGGAUGAAAGGGAGGGAAAAACAAGUACCGAAGCGCAAAGUUUCACACUGGCGAGAAAAACUGCUAUCGAAUCAGGAGGUACCCGUACCGUAAACCGACACAGGUGGAUGAGGAGAGAAUCCUAAGACGAGCGGGAGAAGCAUUGUUAAGGAACUCGGCAAAUUAACCCCGUACGUUCGCAAGAAGGGGUGCCUGCUAAGGCAGGCCGCAGUGAAUAGGCCCAAGCAACUGUUUAACAAAAACACAGGUCUCCGCUAAAUCGAAAGAUGAAGUAUGGGGGCUGACGCCUGCCCGGUGCUGGAAGGUUACGGGAAUCUGUUAGCUAUAGAGCGAAGCAGUGAACUUAAGCCCCAGUAAACGGCGGCCGUAACUAUAACGGUCCUAAGGUAGCGAAAUUCCUCGUCAGGUAAGUUCUGACCCGCACGAAAGGCGUAAUGAUUUGGGCACUGUCUCGACAAUGCACCCGGUGAAAUUGUAGUACUUGUGAAGAUGCAAGUUACCCGCGACAGGACGGAAAGACCCCAUGGAGCUUCACUGUAGACUGUUACUGGGAUUUGGUAUUGACUGUACAGGAUAGGUGGGAGACUGAGAAGCACUGGCGUCAGUUGGUGUGGAGUCGACCUUGGAAUACCACUCUGUCAGUAUUGAAUCUCUAACCUGUGGCCGUGAUCCGGUCAGGGGACAAUGGCAGUCGGGCAGUUUGACUGGGGCGGUCGCCUCCUAAAAAGUAACGGAGGCGUUCAAAGGUUCCCUCAGCACGAUUGGAAACCGUGCGACGAGUGCAAAGGCAGAAGGGAGCUUAACUGCGAGACAGACAAGUCGAGCAGAUACGAAAGUAGGACUUAGUGAUCCGGCGGUAGAAAGUGGAAUUGCCGUCGCUCAACGGAUAAAAGUUACCCUGG